ACGUAGGGUACGAGCGUUGUCCGGAAUUAUUGGGCGUAAAGAGCUCGUAGGUGGUUGGUCACGUCUGCUGUGGAAACGCAACGCUUAACGUUGCGCGGGCAGUGGGUACGGGCUGACUAGAGUGCAGUAGGGGAGUCUGGAAUUCCUGGUGUAGCGGUGAAAUGCGCAGAUAUCAGGAGGAACACCGGUGGCGAAGGCAGCCCCCUGGGUCGACACUGACGCUCAGGCACGAAAGCGUGGGGAGCAAACAGGA
rnacentral:rRNA from 1 species